ensembl:lncRNA
CUUAGAGUCGUCCUGGGUGUGUCUGUAUCAGCUGAGUCGUCCUGGGUGUGUCUGUAUCAGCUGAGUCUCGUGUUGGGUGUGUCUGUAUCAGCUUUGAGUCGUGCUGGGUGUGUCUGUAUCAGCUUUGAGUCGUGCUGGGUGUGUCUGUAUCAGCUUUGAGUCGUGCUGGGUGUGUCUGUAUCAGCUUUGAGUAGUGUUGGGUGUGUCUGUAUCAGUUUUGCACAUCUGGAUUUUGGGCAUUUUCUCAAAUUUUUCCUUGCAGAUUUUCUCAAGCUUUCUUAAGUUAGAUGGGUAGUGGCGGUGAACAGCAAUCUUCAAGUUUUUCCACAGAUUUUAAAUGGGACUCAAGGCUACGCCACUCAAGGACUUUCACAUUCUUGUUCUGAAGCCAUUCAAGCGUUGCUUUGGCUGUAUGCUUGGGGUCCUUGUCCUGUUGAAACGUAACUCUUUGCUCCCAGUCUAAGGUUGUUUGCACUCUGAAGCAGGUUCUUAUCACAGAUUUUCUUGUAUUUGGCUCCAUUCAUUGUUCCCUCUAUGCUUACCAGUCUCUGCUACUGAAAAGCAUCCCCAUAGCAUGACACUGCCACCACCAUACUUCACAGUAGGGGAUAUGUUAGACAGGUGAUGAGCUGUGCCUGUUUUAUUCCAGACACUGAUUUACAUUCACGCCAAAGAGUUAUAUAUUUUAUCUCAUCAGACCACAGGAUAUUUUGCCUUAUGCUCUGUCUUUUACAUGCCUUUUGCAAACACCAGGUCAUGUACCUUUUCCUCAGGAGUGGCUUCCAUCUGACCACUCUCCCAUAUAAAGCCCAGAUUGGUGAAGUGCUGUAAAGACUGUUGUCCUUCUGACAGGUUCUCCCAUCUCAGCCAAGAAACUCUGUAGAUCUGUUAAGAGUGGUCAUUGGGUUCUUGCCCAAUUGCUCAGUUAGGUCAGACAGCCAGCUCUAAGCAGUCUGGGUAGUUCCAUAUUUUUUUCAAUUUCCUAUGAUGGAGACCACUGGGCUCAUGGAAACUUCUUCAACAUUCUAAACAUUCUUUAUACCCUUUUCCCCCAGAUAGAAUUGUGAUUAAGCCUACAGUAUAUCUCAGAGCACUACGGACAGUUCCUUGGACUUCAUGCUACAGUUUCUGCUCUGUCAACAGUGGGACUUUAUUUACACAUACAGCUGUGUCUCUUUCUAAAUCAUGUCCACAUGUAGACUUCAAAUCGAGUUGUAGUGACAAACCCAAGGAUGAUCAAAGGACAUUGGAUGCAAUUUGUAGCGUCAUAGCAAAGAGGUGUGAAUACUUAUGUAAAUUAGAUAUAUUUCCGUAUUUCAUUUUUUCAAUAUAUUUUCAACAUUUAAAAAAAACAAAAAUAAACAUGUUUUGACUUUGUUAUUAUAGGGUAUUGUGUGUAGAUAAAUGGAUUAGGAAAAAUACAUUAAAUCCAUUUUAAAUUCAGGCUGGAACACAAAAUGUGUAAUAAGUCAAGGGGUACCAGUACUAUCACCGAUAUUGUCCUUUUUAACCGCUAAAUCAGUACGGGUGGAUAUUCACUGAUAACCGAUAUUGAAUAAAUAGAAUGAAACGAGGGAAUCUCAUGCUGAUCGGAACACCUGCAGCCAUUUUGCGUGACAUUAUUAUCGUCACAAAGUAUGAAAUCAACAUUUGAAGCCUAGUUUAUUGGACAAUUUUCUUUUGGAUCGAAAUGUCUGAGAAUUUAGAGUAGAAAGAUGACACGUUUUCAUUUCCCACUCUAAAAAAAACAAUAUACCGGCAUCGGGAACUUUUGACACCCCAAAAAUCGUAAUCAGACCCCCC